UGGUGAGCUGUAAGGGCCUGCCGCCCUCCUGCUUCCCGGCUGCCUUCUCUGCUUGCAUGGCGACGGGCUCGGCGCGGCGAGGCGUACUGCCGUCAGGUCCUGCAGGAGCGGAGGCGAAGUGGCGGCGGCUCCUCCUGCUGAGAAGAUGACGCGAUGCUGCCCCGGGAGCAAAGCUGCUCGCUGCCUGCAGGUGCUGCGCGUGGUACUGCUGGCGGAUCCGCGCCCAGGUGGGCCCUGAGCUGGGAGCGCUCCUCCGGCCUCAGCUGUGCGUGGAGCCGGGGCUACCCGCCCCAACAGAAGCCAAGUUUCGCUUUCAUUAUGUUAUUAAUAAACGCCGGUGAAAUCUACCCUUCUCUGGAGGGGAUCGGCUGCACAGCUCGGUGCGGUGCUCGGCAUGAGCUGCCAUCAGAUUCGGGGGCGGGGGGGGGGGGAGGAGCAGCAGGGCUAUGGCUGGAGGGAUGGAGAGCAGAGCAGUCCGGGGCAGGUGUUGGGCAAGUUUGUGCUACUGCCUGUGGCAUUUGUUUGCCACAUGUCCAAAAAUUGUUUGUGUGCUAUAGGAUUGUGGCUAUGUUCUUCCUGAUUCAUUUAUGUAAGAAGAAAUAACUUUCAUAUGGAUGCGGUGGCUGUGCUAGAGGAAGUACGCAACUUUAAAUUAAUGCCUAGAAAACUACUGAGGGAUUGAGGUUUUUGCUGUUACUCUGAUGUUGCAAUAUCAAGCAGCAACAAAGAUGAGAAUGUUGAAAGUAUUCCAAACUUAUCUCCUUGUACUCAGUCUGUAGGCCUUGUGUCCAUUCUGCUACCUCAUCUUUUAUAAAAGAGGCUCCUUUGGAACCUGACCUUUUCCAAAUUUCCUGUUGAGCAGCUCCAAAAAGUUCACUUGGGGUUAAUUAACAAAGGGAAGUUGGAAAUGUUCCAGGUUAUGCUUCUCGAAACUUGAUUAGCUAGUCAGCAACAAGCUCAGUAAAUAAACCUCUUCCAGCCUCCACCGCCUCAGGAAACAUUGUGAAAAGUGGUUUAAUAAUAGGUUUUGAACAAACUUCAGAUCUGAAGCCUCUGUGACUAACAAUCCAGCCUUCUUGAGGUUUAUCCAGAUAGCUCAAUUCCGAAGUCCUGAAUUUUACCUUAAGUGGGUGUAUCAGGCACAGCAGGCUCAUGCUGUAGGCCUACUUUGGCCAUGAUAAAAAUAAAAAGCAGAAAGGAAACUUCUUUUUUUCCAUUUCUUUGCAGCUAGGCUGAAACUGUUCAGAUAGAAUGGUAACAUAAAGGUGAUACUUUCAACCCUGAGAGAGCAAGGUGCGCUGAUGUAAUUGUUAUCUUAGCAUUGCAACACUAUCCAUUUAAAAAUAAAACAAAAAAAGCUCUCUGGUUUACACCAGAAGUCACCGUAACAGCUGUGACAUCUGACCCCUGCUAAGAACUUGUCCUGACUCACCUUGUUCCUGCUAUUAAAGGUAUGCAAUGUAACAGCUAAUUCAGGUGAAAGUUAAUGUGGCUGUAUUAUCUCUUAUGUAAUCAGACUUCAGAAACAGUUUACUGCAGUAUUUGCUGAAUGAAUUUCCUCCUGUCUUCCCCAAAUUAUUAUUUCUGUUCAUCAAGUUCAAACACCAAUAAAAGCAAAAUCAUACCCAUCUCUUA